rnacentral:rRNA from 1 species
GACGAACCGUGCGAACGUUGUUCGGAUUCACUGGGCUUAAAGGGCGCGUAGGCGGGCGACCAAGUCCGGGGUGAAAUCUUUCGGCUCAACCGGAAGAGUGCCUUGGAUACUGGUUGCCUCGAGGGAGGUAGGGGCAUGCGGAACUUCCGGUGGAGCGGUGAAAUGCGUAGAUAUCGGAAGGAACGCCGGUGGCGAAAGCGGCGUGCUGGACCUCUUCUGACGCUGAGGCGCGAAAGCCAGGGGAGCGAGCGGG